rnacentral:tRNA from 1 species
UCCCUGGAGGACUAGUGGUUAUUCCUCGGCGUUCUCACUGCCGCAGCCCGGGUUCGAUUCCCGGCCAGGGAA